AGUUUUCUAAUAUGAAGUAGUAUAAAUGACUUCCAAUCAUUAUGUCUUGGUUUAAAUCCAAGGAAAAUUA
rnacentral:tRNA from 1 species